rnacentral:snoRNA from 1 species
AUCUCCAGUGAUGAGUUGCAGAUGUAUUGCCUACAUUGUUUGAUUAUAUUAUCCGUGAGAAGAAUCUGCGUUCUGAGGCAUUU